UACGGAGGAUGCAAGCGUUAUCCGGAAUGAUUGGGCGUAAAGCGUCCGCAGGUGGCUGUGUAAGUCUGCUGUUAAAGAGUGAGGCUCAACCUCAUAAAGGCAGUGGAAACUACAUGGCUAGAGUGCGUUCGGGGCAGAGGGAAUCCCUGGUGUAGCGGUGAAAUGCGUAGAGAUCAGGAAGAACACCGGUGGCGAAAGCGCUCUGCUAGGCCGCAACUGACACUGAGGGACGAAAGCUAGGGGAGCGAAUGGG
rnacentral:rRNA from 1 species